rnacentral:rRNA from 1 species
CACGUAGGGGGCGAGCGUUGUCCGGAUUUAUUGGGCGUAAAGAGCUCGUAGGCGGCUCGGUAAGUCAGGUGUGAAAACUCUAGGCUCAACCUAGAGACGCCACCUGAUACUGCUGUGGCUAGAGUCCGGUAGGGGAGCAUGGAAUUCCUGGUGUAGCGGUGAAAUGCGCAGAUAUCAGGAGGAACACCGGUGGCGAAGGCGGGUCUCUGGGCCGAUACUGACGCUGAGGAGCGAAAGCGUGGGGAGCGAACAGG